GGACCCGCACAAGCGGUGGAUGAUGUGGUUUAAUUCGAUGCAACGCGAAAAACCUUACCUACCCUUGACAUGUCUGGAAUCCUGAAGAGAUUUGGGAGUGCUCGAAAGAGAGCCAGAACACAGGUGCUGCAUGGCCGUCGUCAGCUCGUGUCGUGAGAUGUUGGGUUAAGUCCCGCAACGAGCGCAACCCUUGUCAUUAGUUGCUACGAAAGGGCACUCUAAUGAGACUGCCGGUGACAAACCGGAGGAAGGUGGGGAUGACGUCAGGUCCUCAUGGCCCUUAUGGGUAGGGCUACACACGUCAUACAAUGGCCGGUACAGAGGGCUGCCAACCCGCGAGGGGGAGCCAAUCCCAGAAAACCGGUCGUAGUCCGGAUCGCAGUCUGCAACUCGACUGCGUGAAGUCGGAAUCGCUAGUAAUCGCGGAUCAGCUUGCCGCGGUGAAUACGUUCCCGGGUCUU
rnacentral:rRNA from 1 species